UCAACUGUGAGCUGCAAUGUUAUCUUAUAGAGCCACAAUAUGGUUGUCAGGGACAGUAUGUUACAUAACGGUUGUUCACACAGACAUCAGAGAGAGAGAGAGACAGACAAAGAGAGAGAGUGACAGAGCCCAAGCCAAGCAGAGAGCACCAGUGAUAUUUGGAAUUUAACUGUUUAAAAGGGAAAAUGCUGUGAUUGUACUGAUAAUGUUAUUGUGUUCAAGAAAGUACUAGAUAGUCAUAGUAUAUUGUGUAGAAUGGCAGGAAACGCAAUGAAAAAGUAUUACGUUUUCUUGGGGAGGACCUCCAGACCCUCUGCCAGAUUUAUAUCGCCACCACUUUCCAAAUCAAAUCUACACGCUUGUUUAUGGGAUCUCUAGUGGUGCCACUGAAUAUUCAAACCUAAUCUGAAUCCAAAAGUUUAGCCUAGUGGUUCUCAAACUUUUUCAAGGACCCCUAACUGAUGCAAAUUAGACCACAGACCCCCAUUUGAUAAGAUUUUGCCCCAGGGUCCCCUAUCUGAUACCAUUUUUGCUUUUAGAUGUUUUAUUACAGAAAGUGUGUGAAACCCAUGACUGAAAUCAUACACUCUGUCAUUGUGUUACGAAUGGAUGGAGUUAUAGUGAAAAUAAAUUAUUCCCCUCUUUGCUGGGGACACUCUGGAGCUCCCCCAAGGACCCCUGGAAGUCCCUGGACCCCACUUUGAGAACCACUGGUUUAAUCUAUCAGAAGUUUUCUAUUCAUGAAAAUGGACAGAAAUCACAGCGCAGCAAUGAAAAGUGCCAGCUCUUGUGUACGUUUUCUGGGCCUCCAAGAUAUGAGAGGGGAAAAUAUCUGCCGACAGCCCAUCACAGUUCACGGCUCUUUGUUUAUCCAUUAAUAAUUGAGCAUAGCUGAAGACAAUACAAGAAUCCAUGUUGAACAAGUUAAAUUACAGCUGUAAGUUUUGAGCUCCCCCGCGAAUCCUGAUCAAGUGGUACUGACCGGUGACCCCACCUGUAGAAUACAGGAAGUGUGAAGCAUGUGCUGAAAAUGUCAAGUCCUUACUAAUGAUAAACAAACUACUGUUGAAGUGUUACAUGUCUUGCUACAAUGGAGCUGCGGAGUGUGUCAACAUACAGUAUGUGUGUCUGCUUCUGCAACUGCUGUCUCUCUACGUCCAUCAUGAAGUCCACCCUCCUGCACGCCAACAGACAGCCGCACAAUCUGUGGAUACCACUUCCUUUGAUAUGGCUUUGGUGUAAUGCUGCAUUCAUGCAGCGUGGGACAAAACGGGAAAAUCUUACCUGCUGCAUUACUCCAAGACUCACAAGCAUGUAAACACCAGAGAGGAGCUGGACAGGAAUCAGUUGAGGGUCUCAGAUGGCUGUUCUGACCUCCAAAGUUCAACAGAGUUUGCACAUUGACAUCAGAGUUCAUCUAGCAACCUGCAAGCGACAGUUUGUCCAGAAAAUAAAGACACCAGGGAAUUUCCUGCUUGUCCUUUACGAAAUGAGAGGAAAUGAAGGAUGGGACUUUGGGCCUCCGAGGCCAUAACCCUUGUAGUCCCACAGCAAGGCUCCCUGGGAUAUGUAGGCGCCUCCGGACACAGGGACACCAGGAGGGGGUCUCCCUCAUCCCUCAUCGGGAAAGGAUGGCAUAUUGGCUGCAUUUGCCCAUUCGCCUCAGCCUCAGGCUGGACACCCAUCCAAAGUUGACAGCUCAUCAAGUUGAGCGACAAGCCGGGGCGGAAACCUGACCAAAUGAGGGGGGAGGAAGCAAGAAAACAGCCUGAAGCGUGAAUACUCCAGCAGCAGGCGUGCAGAGGAAAACGGAAGCUGGGGAGACGGCGUGUCCGCUUUUGCUAGGGGAGAGAGAGACUG